UACAGAGGGGGCAAGCGUUAUUCGGAAUUAUUGGGCGUAAAGGGCGCGUAGGCGGCCUGGCAAGUGGGAGGUGAAAUCCCUCGGCUUAACCGAGGAACUGCCCUCCAAACUGCUAGGCUUGAGUCCGGGAGAGGUGAGUGGAAUUCCCAGUGUAGCGGUGAAAUGCGUAGAUAUUGGGAGGAACACCAGUGGCGAAGGCGGCUCACUGGACCGGAACUGACGCUGAGGCGCGAAAGCGUGGGGAGCAAACGGG
rnacentral:rRNA from 1 species